AGGCUGCAACCACGGCGGUCGCUCUCGCUUACUCCUGCAACAAUCUGUCGUUGCUCAGCGAACAGCGCCGCGGUGGACAACCCAAGCAGUCAAGCCGUCCGUCUGUGAGUGCCUUCACCCUUGGACUCGCUUCUUUUUCUUAACCUUUUCUGGCAGCGCCUCCGUCUUCUCCUCACGUAGACCCAUACCUUGAUACACAGACAUCGCGCCAGUGUGAGCGCAGUGGAGAGAGGCAGGGAGGACGGCGCGUGUUGGUGGUCUGCGCAUCGGGCUCUUUGCAGUGCCCCUCUUCUGCCUCUUUCUUUUCUGUCUCUUCCUCUCUCUGUCUCCGCCACUGCUACAAGAAAGCUGCUACUCCCCGCGCAGAGUCUCCACCAUUUUCUCGCCUCGAAUGCUGCCAUGCCACUGUCGAGUGAUGCGCGCGACGGCGGUCGGGAAGCCACAUUCCACUUUCGCUGGCUGUGCGGUGGAUCUGCGAGCCGCCCAUCGAUCGUGCCGCGUAUGAAGCCGCCGCCGGGGUGCUGCCACUCGCUCGUUGGCUACAAAGACCGCUAUCUUAUUUUGUUUGGCGGUGGGUCGCUAGCGCACUUCGCGAACGACGUGUACGUGUACGACAUGGACAGCCGCCGCUGGUCGCGUAAGGCCCCUGAAAACAGUGACAUGGUGCCACCACGACUGGCCCACUCUUCCGCUAUCCAUGGAGACAAGAUGAUUGUGUAUGGUGGGCAGGACCUGUGCAGCCCUGUAGUGUAUGAUGACGUCCUCGAGCUCGACCUUGUCACGUGGAGGUGGUCAGUGCUGCAGCACGCCCAGGCAAGCCCGGAAGGCCCUGGCGCGCGUCGUCUUCACAACGCGCACGUUGUAGGCGGCCGCAUGUACGUGCUUAUGGGCACUCCAACGGAGCCAAGAGAGGCUCCGCUGUGGUAUCUGGACCUGCAUACGAAUGUGUGGCACCAUCUGAAACCGACCAUAUUGCACGACGGUGACACGACGGCCGAUCCAACUACCAUGCUUUCCUUGUGCGGCUGCAGCUCUGCGGUGUCAGGGGAGUGCAUCUACCUCUUCGGCGGGUACCGUGCCGAGGACGGCGAGAGAAGCCCCUUUCCCCAACGCGAGUACGUGAACUCCCUCUUCGAGUACAAUACGAGGCUCAACACGUGGCGUUCCGUGAGGUUGCACCCGCUCGCGCCACGCCCAGCUGCCCGGUACGCCGCUUCACUGGCUGUGCACGACAGGUACGUGUACCUCUUUGGCGGAGACGCAAAUCAGUCAGACAUGUCCUUGUACUUUAGCGAUCUCUGGCGUAUCGGUGUUCAGGACGAGCUGGCGACCUGGCGCAAGGUGAAUGUCGUUGGCGCGUUGUGCCCCUCCGCUCGCAGCGGCUGUGCGUACACGUGCGCCAGAUCAUCGCUCUUCAUUUUCGGCGGCGAGCUCCCCGUUGGAGACCUCACCAUACCUUGGCUCUACGCUGCUGACCUCUUCCAACUUCCGCUCGGCUACUCUGGCCAGCUCACGCUGCGUGCCACUGCGGCGCGGUGGCUUGGAGCCGCUGCCGGGCAGUGCCGCGAGACGUUUUCACUUUGCUCGUUACCAGAAGAGAUCCCGUUGACCUUGGGGGCGCGGUGUGCUCUCGAGGAGUACUCUGAGGGCUGACGCGUGCCUCCCUUCAGCUGCCAUGGAGGGAGGUGCCGCCAAGUCUUGGACUCGCACUCUCGACUGCUCCGUCGGUUGCUGAAUCGGUAGCGUUGAGGGGUCGCAGGUCGUAUCCUGCUGAGCGCAGACACCAUUGGAAGAAAAGUAAAACUGCUAUUCCUUCUACCCCUCCAUGCUCACAUGACAAC
rnacentral:misc_RNA from 1 species